rnacentral:lncRNA from 1 species
GCAAGUGGAAUGGUACAAAGCCACAUCAGUGUCCAAUGACGAGUCUAAUGGCAAAGGGUACAUAACCACUUCAGAAUCCGCUGAACCUAAUUACAUAGCUUCAUAUACUGCUGCUAAACACAACCAAAACCAUGAAAAACUCCAUCAACCUUACAUAGCUGGGUACACAAGUGAUGCUGCCAACAAAGCCAAUCAAUACAUAGCAGGGUAUAGGACCAAAACUCAUGAUUCCAAUACACCUUACAUAGCUGGGUACACAACAACCAGUGCUUCCCACAAAGCCAAUCAACCUAAUUACCUUGCAGGGUAUAGGACCAAAACCGAUGAUUCCAAUACACCCUACAUAGCUGGGUAUACAACAACUAAUGCCCAUGUGGCAAAUAAUCAACCUAAUUACAUUGCAGGGUAUAGGACUAGCACCACCCAAGAAUCCAAUACACCUUCUUACAUUGCAGGGUAUAGGACUAGCACCACCCAAGAAUCCAAUACACCUUCUUACAUUGCAGGGUAUAGGACUAGCACCACCCAAGAAUCCAAUACACCUUACAUUGCAGGGUAUAGGACUAGCACCACCCAAGAAUCCAAUACACCUUACAUUGCAGGGUAUAGGACUAGCACCACCCAAGAAUCCAAUACACCUUACAUUGCAGGGUAUAGGACUAGAACCACCCAUGAUCCUAAUGCACCUUACAUAGCUGGGUACACAACAACUAGUGCCAAGAAAGCUCCAAAAGGGUCAUCUCAUGAUGAUACCACUGGACCUUACAUAACCCAAUAUGGUGGACCCGGUCCCAAAAAU